AUUGAACGCUGGCGGCAGGCCUAACACAUGCAAGUCGAGCGGUAGAGAGGUGCUUGCAUCUCUUGAGAGCGGCGGACGGGUGAGUAAUGCCUAGGAAUCUGCCUAGUGGUGGGGGAUAACGUUCGGAACGGACGCUAAUACCGCAUACGUCCUACGGGAGAAAGCGGGGGAUCUUCGGACCUCGCGCCAUUAGAUGAGCCUAGGUCGGAUUAGCUAGUUGGUGAGGUAAUGGCUCACCAAGGCGACGAUCCGUAACUGGUCUGAGAGGAUGAUCAGUCACACUGGAACUGAGACACGGCCCAGACUCCUACGGGAGGCAGCAGUGGGGAAUUUUGGACAAUGGGCGCAAGCCUGAUCCAGCAAUGCCGCGUGCAGGAUGAAGGCCUUCGGUUGGUUAAAGGACU
rnacentral:rRNA from 1 species